GGUGAACGCUGGCGGCGUGCUUAAGACAUGCAAGUCGAACGGGCUCUUCGGAGCCAGUGGCGCACGGGUGAGUAACGCGUAACUGACCUACCCCAAAGUCGCGGAUAACGAUUCGAAAGAAUCGCUAAUACGUGAUGUGCUGUCAGAUCCUGUUCUGCCAGUAAAGAUUUAUUGCUUUGGGAUGGGGUUGCGUUCCAUCAGCUAGUUGGUGGGGUAAAGGCCCACUAAGGCGACGACGGAUCGCCGGCCUGAGAGGGUGGCCGGCCACAGGGGCACUGAGACACGGGUCCCACUCCUACGGGAGGCAGCAGUUAGGAAUCGUCCACAAUGGGCGAAAGCCUGAUGGAGCGACGCCGCGUGAGGGAUGAAGGGCGUCGGAUCGUAAACCUCUGAAUCAGGGACGAAAGACGCGAAAGCGGGAUGACGGGACCGGAGUAAUAGCACCGGCUAACUCCGUG
rnacentral:rRNA from 1 species